CUAUAUAUAUAUACACAAACUCUCUCUCUCUCUCUCUCUUUCUUUCUCUCUCUCUCUCUCUCUCUCUCUCUCUCUCUCUCUCUCUCUCUCUCUCUCUCUCUUUCUCUCUCUCUUUCUUUCUUUUCUUUCUCUCUUUCUCUCUCUCUUUCUUUCUUUCUCUUUCUUUCUUCCUUCCUUCCUUUCUUUCUUUCUUCCUUCCUUUCUUCCUUCCUUCCUUUCUUUCCUAGAAGACUGACCUAGGAUCAAAGAGACAGAAUAUCAGAGACACAGAUAAAUGUCAGCUCAGUCAAAGUACAACUUCCUAAAACUAAGAGCUGACCAAAGGUGGAAGAUGAGGUAGUGAACUCCCCAUUACUGAAGUUCCUCAAACUAAGGCUAAAGUAGCUUUUGGGAAGAGGUCAGCAUCAUAGAGGGGGUUCUUUUUCAGGUUAUAUUUGCAGUAGAUGAUUUCUGAGGUUCCUUCUAAUUCUGGGAUUCUCUUACUCUCUACUCCACCCCAUAGAUAGUGGGAAUCCUUCAAAAGUCAGUGAACAUGUGUGACAAGAAAACGGAAUCUGAAUUCAAAAAGGAGGGGGGAAACAAGCAUUUAUUAAGCAUGUACUAGGUGUCAAACACUUUAUAAAUAUUAUCUCAGGUAAGAUUCCCAACAACCUUGAGAGGUACUAUUAUUAUUCCAAUUUUCCAGUGGAGAGAACAGACAGAGGUUAAGGAGCUUGCUCAGUCUCACAACUAGUAAGUGGCUGAGACUGAAUUCGAACUCUGGAUCUGAUACUCAAUGUACUGCACCACCUAGCAAAGUCACAGGACUAAAGUUUGAAUCUUUACCCUGUAACUUAUCAGCUAUAUCUGUGCUUCAGUUCUCUCCUCUGUAAAACAAAACAAAAUUAAAUUAGAUAAUCUGUAACGUGGUUCCACCUCUAAAUGCUAUGAAUGAUGGGAUAAAAAAUGUGUUUUAGAAGUGAGGUUUUCAUACCCUACAAUGCUUUAUUCAUCUUCAGUGACCUGACUGGGUCAAAGAAAGGUAAAAGUGCAGGAAUCCAAGGGAACAAUGUCUAACAAAUGGGCAGCUGUCAGCCUGUAAGCAAUGUCGCACAGCGUGAGAGCUGAUUGAAAGGUAAGCAACAAUCACUUUCCAACAAAGCCAAAAGACCCCUUCUGCUGCUGAGGCCAAGGGCUCUAACCUCUCAAACCCUCUGGGGUCUUGUUAAUCAAGAGAAAGAAGAAAGAUCCAGGCUUCAAU
rnacentral:lncRNA from 1 species